rnacentral:pre_miRNA from 1 species
UUUCUACUCCCUCUGUCCGAAAAUACUUGUCAUCAAAAUGGAUAAAAAGAGAUGUAUCUAAAACUAAAAUACGUCUAGAUACAUUUCCUUUUAUCCAUUUUGAUCACAAGUAUUUCCGGACGGAGGGAGUAUUUG